CUGAAGCAGAGACCACAGUGUCCCACGAGCGCCCUCUACUGAGCAAGCUUUACAUUUUGUACACUGUAACUGAAAUAUGCUUAAGGGAAUUCUACUGCGGAAUAGGCGUUGAAAGAGGACUUUGAAGCUGAGAGUUAAUAAAUCUGGAUAACUGGCACACACCCUCGGGCCUGGCACCGAGGAGACAUCUGCCUGGCAGAAGCUGAGGAUGCUGUCACCAUGAUGCCACUUGGCCAAGGGGGCCUCACCAGAGCCCAGCAGAUGUCGGCGCAGUGAACUAAGUUGCCUUUCUUCAUGAAACCCCCAGCCUCGGGUACUGCACUCCAGGUAUGGGCGCUAGGUUACCCGUCACCACCGGCAUCCAAAGAAGGCACAGACAGAACAAGAAACUCGCCAAGGCCACCCUCAGCCAGGCCCAUGGUGCUGCACCACGCGGUCCAGCAGCCCAGUUAGUUCCUGUGACAGCGACCUGUCUUACAAAGAGCAAACCUGUUGACAGGGACAGAGGGACGCUGCCCGGAGACGCCUGCCCUCCCCAUCAUCCCUGGGCGCUCCACGGCCAACGUGGUCCCUCCCAGGAAUCCCGCCGAGCCUGCCUCUGCUUGCCCGAGAGAGGCAGGGAGAGGGAAUCUUGCUGCAGUCUCCUUCCAGCUGUCCUCCUCGGAGAGGUCCCAUCUCUGGGCCAUCUUCAUUUGCACACUGACCAGGCUUCUGCCAGGUGAAAAGAAAGAGCAGUAAGAGGAGGAGGAAGAACGCAAGAUGCAAUCAACCGCACUGCACCCAAGCAGGGGAACCGAGUAAUUGAAAAGCAACCCAAAUAAAGGCUCCUGCGAUGGG